rnacentral:misc_RNA from 1 species
UGGACGAAAGCGAUGUCCUAGGUCGCAUUUCUCGGUAGGCCCUAACUUUCUUCAAUGCAGGAUUUUGACGUUUACCCGGCUCGUAAGGCAUGACAAGGGUGGUGUUACGGUAGAAGAAACAAGUAUGGCUAACCCGAAAUACCGGGACUGGAUUCUAGAGACGAUUGAUCAGCUGCGGAAGAGAAAAGCUCGGCCGGACCUCGAGCGCAUUUGCCACAUGGUAGAACGAAAACACGGGCUGAGUUCACGAGAGACGGAAGCGCAACUAGAAAAGCUGGUUGACUCAGAAAUAGUGAUAAAAGUAGACUAUAAAGGCAACACGAGCUAUAGAAAUGGGGCCAAAUGGAAGAAGAGUCAUUUAGGAGGGGUUGUUUUGAAUUCCAGCACAGCUAGCAAAAGACUUCACGAUGCGAUCACUGAACUCAGUCAUAGCCAACCCACUCAGAAUCAGGAAACGGAACGGUUCGGGAUAAGUAUACGUGACAUUAAAAACUGGCUGCAAUCGAAUUUUGACGACGAAGUGCCACUGAAAAGUCCAAUUAAUAUUGUGCUUCAGAGGGAAAUUGAUGCAGGAAGGAUUGAAAAAUUACAGAAUGGGAAUUUUUCUUUACCAUCAUCUGGGCAUAAAGUGACGAGGCCUAAAACUUUGGAUGUUAAACAAAUCGCCGGCACUCCGUCAAGGAGAGGACGGCCCCCGAAAAACAAGAACCUUGGCUUUAAAAAGCCUCCGAAGGUGCGGAAGAGUUAUGGGUCUGAGGAGGAAGUGGUGGAGUCGGUCAACGCCUCCCCGCCAGUGCUGGAGAACCGAUGUGACUUCUGUCAGCUGACUGCCGCCUCCAACCGGAGGGGCCGAUCAGAGAAACUACUCAUAUGCAAGGACUGCAUUGCAAAAGCUCACCCAUCAUGCAUGGACUACUCGGUGGCGCUGGCUCGGCGGGCACGCAAGAUCCCCUGGCAGUGCAUUGACUGUAAGACCUGCUACAUCUGUGAUGACGCAGGGGAUCCGGAUUUGAUGUUGUUCUGUGAUGGGUGUGACAAGGGCUAUCACACCAACUGCCAUGAACCGCAGGUCAAAGAAAAACCCUCAGGCAAGUGGGUGUGCACGGAGUGUGAGACAGACGGAGUGUCGGCGGAGGCUCUCGACUCACAGGAGGCAGCUAAGGCAGCCAGCAAGGAGCUGUCCAUUAAAACAGACACUGAAACAGACAAGUUGUGUACCUCAGAGCCUGGUCCGUCCUUCCUCCAUACGCCCUGCGAUUCCCCUGUGGAAAACAUGGAGGUUGACAACCAUAGCUAUUUUAAGGAGGAGGUGAAACCGGUGAAGAAAUCCACAGAGCCCCUCCCGAAGGAGCCCUGUUUAGUGGACAGCGUGUACCCAGACGCCUCGGACUGGACAAUAGACGAAGUGGUCCUCUUCUUCAUGUCCGUGGGCUUCGAGGCGCAGGCGGAGGCGUUUCGAGAACAGGAGAUUGAUGGCAAGUCUUUGCUCUUGAUGAAGAGGAGCGAUGUGUUAACAGGUCUGUCAAUCAAGCUAGGACCCGCCCUCAAGAUCUACCGACAUGUUGAGUGUCUUCAGACUGCAGGACAAGAUCAGACCAUGCACUGAGCAGGUGCUUGUCCUGUGUAUAGACAGUGGGAGAUCAGACUGUACUGAACAGGUGCUUGUACAGACCGUGGGAGAUCUGACCAUGUACUGAACAGGUGCUGUACAGUGUACAGACCAUGGGAGAUCAGACUGUACUGAACAGGUGCUUGUACAGACCGUAGGAGAUCUGACCAUGUACUGAACAGGUGCUGUACAGUGUACAGACCAUGGGAGAUCAGACUGUACUGAACAGGUGCUUGUACAGACCGUGGGAGAUCUAACCAUGUACUGAACAGGUGCUGUACAGUGUACAGACCAUGGGAGAUCAGACUGUACUGAACAGGUGCUUGUACAGAUCGUGGCAGAUCUGACCAUGUACUGAACAGGUGCUGUACAGUGUACAGACAAUGGGAGAUCAGACUGUACUGAACAGGUGCUUGUACGGUGUGGAGAGACCAUGGGAAAAGUCAGAUCAUGCACUGAAUGUUUGUGCUGUGUAGAGACCAUUGGACAGUGGGGCCAUGCACUGAACAGGUGCUUGUGCCGUGUAUAGUGAAGAUAGUGAUAUGACCAGACUGUAUGUUGAACAACUGUUAGUGCUAUGGUAUUAGGAGGAUUAAAGGGAGCAGUGCUCAGGUUUUACUGAGUGAUGGUCACCGAUGGAGAUUAUUUGCAUAAUCUUGCUUCAUUCAUCUGCAUUCCACUUAUAAUAGAUGCUUCUUGGUAUUUGAUCUUGUUUUGAAUACCCAUUACGAAUACACAGAAAAUGUCAGGAAUGGUGUUGAAUACAUAUUGAAAGAUAAUGGAAACGCUUACACUUUGGUCACUCUGAUGCAAGACCAAGUGGAGGUAAGCAGAAGACGUAGGGAAGGCUUGGGAGGAGUACUUACUUCAUUCACCGGAAUCAAGUCAUGCUCGGGACGGUGAACCUGUGAAGCAUGUCGGGGAUGUGGUAACCAAUUAUAGUUGGUGUGUGAUUGCCUUUUGACUUCUCAGCAGCUAUCUUGGGUCGGAGAAGUCAAAAUGUUUUUAUUUCAGGGAAUUUGUAUGUUUUCUGGGAAAUGAUUCGAAAGGUUUCUUUUGUCCAAAUAAGAUAAAAAUAUAAUAGGUCGAAGAAUGAGUGGAGUAGUCACCUGUUAUUAUGCAAGCUAGUUAAAUGUAUUAAGUAUCAAUGAAACAUGUUUUUGAAAAUGAAGAAAUUGCACUGGAUGACCGCCAUUGUUGUUGGAGUGGCUCCAAGCUCCUCACAGUGAUAGCCCGUUUGCGGAGCUCUCUAUACUAUCACUGCCACCAGUGAAAGCUCCCCACUGUGAUAGGUGGCUGCAACCAUGCUUGGAGUUGAACUCACACCCAACUGUUUUAUAUACAAACAAGUUACGACUGCCGUAAUGCCGAAUACACUUACCCCUGCUAAAUUGUUUUCUUUGUUUGGCAAUUUGAUUACUGUGAUUGCAACUCUCAUGUAAUUGAUAUAAUAAGAAUGUGAGGGGAAAGUUGGUUGAUUUUCCGUUCGUCUGCAAUCUCGAAUCAAUUUGAGCAAACAAACAAAAAGUUAACUUCAUCUGGGAAAUAUGGUCAGUGGUAAACAUUUUCAAACUUCACUGUGAUGGCAUUCCCAUAGACAAACAAAAGUAUAAACAUUACUACAUUUGGGGUUAGAGGGCAAAUUUCAAGAUUCUUGUAACAGCUGUGCCCAUACUGGUGGCAGCAUUACCGAGAGUGUAACGAAGGUGUCACGCGCUGGGAUGGAGCUUGGAGUGGUUCUUGUGACUAUUUGCGACAGUUGAUCAAUGAAAGGAGUUUCAGAAAGUGUGAGGAUUGGUAUAGAGACUGUUACUAGCCAGUCUAGGGGUGGAUUCUGAGGAUCUGCAGUUCACCAUAUUUCCAUAAUAGUUGAAAAAUGUAGGUAAGGCCACUGUAAAUUAUUUGUUAGAUUUUCAUAAAAAAAGUGGACAGGGGGCUCUAUAUUUUGUAUGAUUUUGUAUGAGAUGAGAUUACUUCAUGAUCCAUAGUAGCACAGUAGACAUACAUUCUGCAAGAUCAAACAUGCAUUUUACUACUGAUUGAUGCUUAUAUGGGACCGACCAAUUGGUAUGGGAAGGGGGAGCUGUCUUUGUAUGGAGACUAGAUAGAUAUUCAGCUAUAGCUGAAAACUGAAAACCCAGAUAUGUUUGUUUUUAACACUAUGAGCUUAAAUAUUUAUUUUUUAUAUAAAAACUCCUUCUUGCAACAAUGUUUUUUUUGUGGUUGACAAUUUCAUUCUUUUUUCAACACUUUAAAAAUGCCAAUGAAACCAUUAAAUCUGAAGCAUAGUUAUUUAUUAUUAUUUUUGUUCCAGUAUUUUCUGGGACAGUAUAUUUUUUCCGAUCAAGUCCAGCCCCUCUCAGAAAAUCAAAUGGUCGGUUCCAUAGCAACUUUUAGUCUAACAAUCGGGUUUUCACAAAGUUUGGAUUUGUAGAAUUCUGGGUAAGCUCAUCAGUCUCUCAAGACAAAAACUGGUCUGGCAUUCCUAAGAUUGUUCAGUUGACAAUGAAUUUAUUUUUGUAUGUUUAAAUUUACAUUGGUUGCAGUCAACAAUGGCAUGCGUAUUUGAUUAUCCGUAAAUAAAUAACUGAUUUCGCUGUUAUUAUUUAGGGGCAGCAUUGAGUUGUGCUAUCUAUUUAGAUGAAUUAUGUAUACAGUUGAACCCUGUUAAUCCAAACGGUAGCGUUUUCGCUGAAAUACGGUGUAAGGAUCCAUACAGAAAUGGUUAUCUCUGUAAUGGUUAAAACUACUCAAAAGAAGUUAAGGACCAUCCAAUUCUUUUAUAUUACCAUGGUUAAUCUGUCAUGUCAGUCCUUAACUUCUUUUAAAUAGUAUAUUAAAGAAAUUGUUAUCCAUAAGUUGUGUCUACUUUGAAAUGCUCCGGAUAAACAUAUUUUCCGAUUAUGGAAUAAUUUCAUUUUGUAUGCAUAUAAGCAUUUCCGGAGUACUCAUCAGAAAUUUGAGUUUUCAGGAUUACCUGAAAUGAGGUUUCACUAUGUAUAUAUAGGGAUGGUGAUUGUAUGACAUGGUGAUUGUCAUUGAUUGGUUGCAGAUCAAUUAAAUCAGAGAAUGAAAUUUAGUGUGUGAACAUAACCUUGUGAUAUUUGACAUAUGCAGUUCAGAUUUAUAUAAAAUCAUUCCUGGUGUCUCUAGUAGUCUAGUGAGUUAAAAACUAUAUUUGUCAUGUGUUGAUAUAAGUUAUUAAUGGCCCAAAAUAUGGGUGGUAAAAAAAAAACCCAAAAUCCAAAUUAAGGACUUUUUGAGAAUUUUAUUUUUCCGGGGGGGGUGGGGGCAACAGUUUGAGCUGAAGUUUCUGCAUAUUCUGUCAUCGUUGAAAACAUCAACAAAUAUUUGCUGGGAAACUGGAGGAGAUCCUUUCUAUUGCCACUUCAGAAGUACCUUUAGUUUAUGCCCCAAAUAGCAAUAAGUAUUGUGGCAUAGACAGUCCUUGUAGGACACCUCAUUGUGAAAUCAUCCUCUCAAGUAUAUUUGUCAAAAGUCAUUCUAUUUCCUUUCUAAUUUAAAUGGUUUUUAUUUUGGUUGGUUUUGUAAGCCAUCUAUUAAUAUACAAAAGGCCUAAGGGGUGUUAAGUAUUUUAGACUGAGAGAAAACAUGGUUGAUAUGGCGUAUGACUUGCAGCAGAAUGGUGUAGUAUUGAUUAUAUUAGCCUAACACAUGUACAUUGUUAGUGAAUGGAUUUGUUCAUCAAGAUAUGGGUUAUGCAACAACAUAAUAUUCCUCUGAUCUUGGUAUUAUUUGUCCAAAAUAUGGAUUAUCCGCGAAUUUAAGUGGUGGCUCUGUGGCCGAAUGAUUAUUAGAUUGAAUUUGAAAUAAUUCUUGUAAUAAUAGAUGCCAUAAUAUUAAAUUGUGUCAAUCCAGGAAGAUUCUGUAUAUAUGAACCGACACAAAUAAAAGGGUGGUCUUUUUAAGUACACACUCUACCUUAUAUCACAAACUGGCUUAAAUUUAGUUUAAGCUGGUGUUAAUAUAUUGUCCAAUACUAAUCCAAUAUUUCAUUUUGUUUUGUUUUAAAAGUUUUGGACUUAAGUUAUCCAGAGACUGUUGUGUCUGUGUUUUCAUACCAUUUGUUUUGACAGACGUUUUUUGUAUUUAUGCACAUAGGCUGUACAAAGUGUAUGGCGGUCCGUGGCUAUGUGAAUUGCUUGACUAAUUACAUGCUCCAAUAUCCA